rnacentral:rRNA from 1 species
GUGAUAAGAUUCGUGGUCGAAAGGGAAACAGCCCAGACCGUCAGCUAAGGUCCCUAAACUAUGCUAAGUGGGAAAGGAAGUAUGAUUGCCCAGACAGCCAGGAGGUUGGCUUAGAAGCAGCCACUCCUUGAAAGAGUGCGUAAUAGCUCACUGGUCGAGUAGUCAUGCGCCGACAAUUUAACGGGGCUAAGCAUAGUACCGAAGCUACGGCUCAUUAGUUUACUAAUGGGGGUAGGGGAGCAUUCUGUAAGCCGAUGAAGGUGUUCUGUAAGGGAUGCUGGAGGUAUCAGAAGUGAGAAUGCAGGCAUGAGUAACGAAAAGGGAGGUGAGAUCCCUCCCCGCCGAAAGCCGAAGGUUUCCUGGGUAAAGUUCGUCUUCCCAGGGUUAGUCGGUCCCUAAGGCGAGGCCGAAAGGCGUAGUCGAUGGGAAACUAGUUAAUAUUCUAGUACUUCUGAUAAUUUCGAUGGAGUGACGCAUAGGGGGAAUCCCUGCCGGGCGUUGGUUGUCCCGGUUCAAGCGGUAAGGUGUUGAAUCUCGCAGGCAAAUCCGCGAGAUGAGCUGAGCCGCGAAGAGUAGUGAUCCUACGGGUGAACGAAGAGGGUGGACUCGUCGUGCCGAGAAAGAGCUUCUAAGGUUAGGUUAUCAGGAACCGUACCGCAAACCGACACAGGUAGGCGAGCUGAGAAUGCUAAGGCGUACGGAAGAACUCACGUUAAGGAACUCGGCAAAUUACAUACGUAACUUAGGGAGAAGUAUGGCCUCCUUCGAGAGAAGAGGUUGCAGAGACCAGGCCCGAGCGACUGUUUACCAAAAACACAGGUCACUGCGAACCAGCAAUGGGAAGUAUAGUGACUGACACCUGCCCGGUGCUGGAAGGUUAAGAGGAGCUGUUAGCAUUUAUGUGAAGCAGUGAAUUGAAGCCCCAGUAAACGGCGGCCGUAACUAUAACGGUCCUAAGGUGGCGAAAUUCCUUGUCGGGUAAGUUCCGACCCGCACGAAUGGUGUAACGAUUUGGGCACUGUCUCGACGUGAGAUCCGGUGAAAUUAAAGUCUCGGUGAAGAUGCCGAGUACUCGUGGUUAGACGGAAAGACCCCGUGAACCUUUACUGCAUCCUGAUAUUGAUGCGUGGAUUAUGAUGUGUAGGAUAGGUGGGAGACUAUGAUUUCUGGUCGUCAGGCUGGGAUGAGUCGUUGGUGAAAUACCACCCUUUAUGAUUCAUGUAUCUAACGCUGACCGUGAAGCCGGUUAGCGGACAUUGUCAGGUGGGCAGUUUGACUGGGGCGGUCGCCUCCCAAAGCGUAACGGAGGCGCGCGAAGGUUCUCUUUUCACGGUCAGAAAUCGUGAAUGAAGUGUAAAGGCAUAAGAGAGCUUGACUGCGAGACUGACAAGUCGAGCAGGUACGAAAGUAGGUCUUAGUGAUCUGG